rnacentral:rRNA from 1 species
UACAGAGGGUGCAAGCGUUGUCCGGAAUUACUGGGCGUAAAGCGCGCGUAGGCGGUCUGUCGCGUCGGCGGUGAAAGCCCUCGGCUCACCUGGGGGAGGUCCGCCGAAACGGACAGACUGGAGGGCGGUAGGGGCUGGCGGAACGCCCGGAGUAGCGGUGAAAUGCGUUGAGAUCGGGCAGAACACCAGUGGCGAAGGCGGCCGGCUGGGCCGACCCUGACGCUGAGGCGCGAAAGCCAGGGGAGCGAACGGA